rnacentral:rRNA from 1 species
CCUAACACAUGCAAGUCUAACGGUAACAGGAAGAAGCUUGCUUCUUUGCUGACGAGUGGCGGACGGGUGAGUGAUGUCUGGGAAACUGCCUGAUGGAGGGGGAUAACUACUGGAAACGGUAGCUAAUACCGCAUAACGUCGCAAGACCAAAGAGGGGGACCUUCGGGCCUCUUGCCAUCGGAUGUGCCCAGAUGGGAUUAGCUAGUAGGUGGGGUAACGGCUCACCUAGGCGACGAUCCCUAGCUGGUCUGAGAGGAUGACCAGCCACACUGGAACUGAGACACGGUCCAGACUCCUACGGGAGGCAGCAGUGG